AGAGUACGGGGCGUUUUGCCCCUACCCGACUUUACAUCCCGUGAACUUUUUUCAUGUUGCUUCGGCGGGCCUGCGCUCUUGCGCCCGGCUGCUCACGUGGCUGGAGUGCCCGCCAGAAGACCCUUUAAACUCGAUGUUUUGGUGCCUGUCUGAAAUAAAAACAAUAAACUA
rnacentral:misc_RNA from 1 species